AUUGUCCCCGUCAUAAUGAAUCGUCGUUGCCAGACCUCAACGAGUCUGCUAUGCCCCGCCAACCGUUGCUACCAGAUUUGAACGCGUGUAGCCAUGAUCAAGGUUAUAGGUCUCCGUUUUAUGAACCCGGUUACGAUCCCUCGUACGGACAGGAAGAAUAUGGCAAUAACGUUUUCGUUAGUGGUCCCUCGGGAGUACAAGGAGACCUUAGUCACCCUUCUUACGUGCAAGAGUCAUUGGGUGACGAUCCAGCUGUGCAAGAGUCAUUGGGUGACGAGCCACCCGUGCAAGAGUCAUUGGGUGAUGAGACACCCGCUUACCCUGAAGUUUCGUACAAAACUGAUCAGGAUUUUUUAUCCCACGAUGAUUUGGAAAGUUGGGUAAAACGAAGGGGUUUAGCCAACGGAUACAUAGUUGUUACCAAACGGUCCAAGGAUAACCGGGUGUGGCUCCAAUGUUGUUGUAGCGGCGAGCAUGAGAGUAAGGCCACGGUUAGGAAAACCGGCAGCAAAAAAUGCGCGUGCCCUUUUAUGGUGAUAGGUUGUCUCGACCGGGGCUGUAUGUCUUGGCGGAUAGAUUAUCUGAACAAAAAUUUUAACGAGGCGCACAACCACGGCCCUGCUGAACAUCUGGAGGGUCACGCGUAUGCCAGGAGGCUUACUCCUAAUGAGUUUAGGCUGGUGCAAGUGCUGACAGAUCAAGACAUACAGCCCCAUACAAUCUGGAAUAACAGAACCCUGAGAACGUAUGUGUUCCGAAAGACAUACACAACGCUCGCCAAAAGAUUAGGGCCGCGAAGUUCGAGAAAAAACCGUCUCCCAUGCAGCGACUAGAACAAAUCCUCCAGGAAGAAAAAGAUGACCUAUUACAUACAGGCGGAACCUUCCACCAACGUCGUUCAGCAUAUAUUUUUCUGUCACGAUAAGUCCUUUGAAAUGUGGAGGGCAUUCCCACAUGUGCUUAUGAUCGACGCUACCUACAAGACUAACAUGUACAAUCUUCCAUUUUUGCAAGUUGUGGGUAUGUCGUCGACAAACCACACCUUCUGUGUUGCGCAUGCAUUUCUUUCAAACGAGCAGGAGGCAACGUACGUCUGGGUCUUGGAGAGGGUCAGGUCUAUGCUGCACGAGUGCAUGGAGCCGCGUCUAAUUCUAACGGACAGGGACCAAGCACUGAUAAACGCGUGUAGAAAAAUAUUCCCUGGCGCCCACAGAUAUCUCUGCAAGUUCCACAUCUUACAAAAUAUUGUGAAGCACUGCAAGGGUUCGUUUAAUGGGCAAGAUUGGGAAGCCUUUAUAAAUCAGUGGAAAACAGUGUGUAAUUCCGCUACCGAGGAGUUAUACAAAUAUAACGUCCUCAACCUUCAGAGACACCUUGUCAAUCAACAACUUACAUACAAUUAUUCGUAUCUGCAUGGACCAAUCAAACCCUGACAUUCUUGCAAAGUACAACAAGCAGAGCUGAAGGCGCACAUGCUGCAUUAAAGAAACAGCUUACUACACGGAGAUGCAGUCUGGAAUCGCUGGUGAAAAAGGUGGACACCUUGGUACUAAAGCAAUAUGCGCAAAUAAAGAAAUCCUUGGAAGAAAGCCGCACCAAGCGAAUGAACAGCCACCUUCAGAUUCCUAUGUUUUCCAACCUACUUCUUAAAGUUUCCAUCCAUGCUCUUAACCUAUUGGAAAACGAGCUAACACGGAGAAUAGACACGUUGCGGUCAUUCGGAUCAACAUGUGCCUGCCAGCUGUACUCAGGUGCCGGGUUGUUAUGUGCAUGUCGCCUGGAGAGAUUGCAGAAUACAGACUGCGUCAUUCAGCUCGAAGAUAUAGACAUUUUCUGGAGAUAACUUGACCUGAACGCAUCAAAUUUUGAUGAGGAAGAUGUUGAUGUAGACAAACAAUUAGAAUAUGUGAAACAAAAAUUGUCUACCCAACCCCCGCAAGUGAGGAAAAGCAUCUUAUCGAAGAUCGCGGCGGUGGUAAACCCAUAUAUGAGCGACAAAAAACCGUCUGUCGUACAAGAAAACACUCGCAGGCGGCCAACUUCCAAGGUUCAACAACAAAGAAAAGAGCAAGCUGCUAGAGAUAGCUCAGUUGGGCCUCCCAGACAACAAAGUAGGUGUGACCCUCCUCGACAUAGCUCUUAUGUACCAUCGCAAGAUUCCCUAAUACCGUCUACGUCUGCAAUGUCUCUAAAGUCUCAAAGGUCGUUAAAUCGACGAGGUCGUUCAACAUCUUCACAUGAAGAAGAGCCUGGCAAGGGCAAUGCCUUUUCGUUAAUCAUUGAUGAGGGAAUGCUUGAAUAUGCGUACAGAUACAAAAAAACAAAUUCCAAAAGUGUUCCACCCCUACAUUUCAAGAAUAAAAGAUGUCAGGCCGGAUGAACAUUGUGGGUUUCGGGCGGCGGCUGUGGGUUUAGGGUUUGAACAAGAUUACUUUGGGUAUAUUCGAAACCAACUACUUGAAGAGCUGACGGGUCCAAACAAAGAAAUGUGGGAGUACAUCUUGGAUCGUGAAGUACCAGGGGACUACGACCAACAAGUACCGAGAAUAAAUUUUACCGGGGUUGGAAUGGCACCCAGGGAACAUUGGAUGGAGAUGCCACAAGCAGCACUCCUUCUUGCCAAUAGGUUUGUUGUGAUUGUUCACAUAUUAGACAUCCAAGGUUGUUCUACUGUAUUUCCCUUAUAUGAUCCAAAGUACGCACGUGACCCCCAUCAGUUUGUUUCACUGUUAUUUGUUAAUCGUGGUCAUUUCAUCCACGUCAGACUUGAAGGGGACUAUCCAAUGCCGCCACCGAACCUUACAUGGAGUAGACGCGCACGCCAAGAAGCUUUACAUUGGACGGAAAACUACACGGAACGGAUAGCGUGGUAUGAUAUGCUAAUGAAGCCUAACAUUGACCCUACAUUGCUUGUCAUUGAUUGAUUUGUAAUUUUAAACAAUAAUUUAUUUGUAUAAUGCAUUCCAUUUGUUUA